rnacentral:rRNA from 1 species
UGCGUAGGCGGAAUAUUAAGUCAGUGGUGAAAUCCUGCGGCUCGACCGUAGAACUGCCAUUGAUACUGAUAUUCUUGAAUGUAGUUGAGGUAGGCGGAAUGUGUAAUGUAGCGGUGAAAUGCUUAGAUAUUACACAGAACACCGAUUGCGAAGGCAGCUUACUAAACUAUGAUUGACGCUGAGGCACGAAAGCGUGGGGAGCGAACAGGAUUAGAUACCCUGGUAGUCC